GGCUGGUCUGAGUGCAGUGUUGUUUAUAACUUAUUGAUCCCAACCAGUUACAGAUUUUCUUGUUCCUUCUCCACUCCCACUGCUUCACUUGACCAGCCUUAA
ensembl:misc_RNA Y_RNA Y RNA